rnacentral:rRNA from 1 species
GACGAACGCUGGCGGCGUGCUUAACACAUGCAAGUCGAGCGGAGCGGCGAACGGGUGAGUAACGCGUGAGUAACUGCCCCCCUCCCUGGGAUAACAGUUGGAAACGGCUGCUAAUACCGGAUAGUGGGGGAUGACUCGCGUCCUAUCAGCUUGUGGGUGGGGUAGUGGCCUACCAAGGCGACAACGGGUAGCCGGCCUGAGAGGGCGAACGGCCACAUUGGGCUAAGGUACUGGCCAAGUUGCUACGGGAGGCAUCAGGGGGGAAUAUUGCACAAUGGGGGAAACCCUGAUGCAGGAACGCCGCGUGCGGAAUGACGGCCUGCGGGUUGUAAACCGCUUUCGGCCAUGACGCGGUAGUGGCAGAAGAAGCACCGGCUAACUACGUGCCAGCAGCCGCGGUAAUAC